rnacentral:tRNA from 5 species
GCGAACAUAACUUAAUGGUAAAGUUUUGGUCUUCCAAACCAAAAAUGCGAGUUCAAAUCUCGCUGUUCGCU